rnacentral:rRNA from 1 species
GACGGAGGGUGCUAGCGUUGUUCGGAAUUACUGGGCGUAAAGCGCUCGCAGGCGGCCUUUUAAGUCUGACGGUGAAAUGCCGGGGCUCAACCCCGUGCCCGCCGGAGAUACUGGGAGGCUGGAGACGAGUAGAGGCAAGCGGAAUUCCGGGUGUAGCGGUGGAAUGCGUAGAGAUCCGGAAGAACACCGGAGGCGAAGGCGGCUUGCUGGGCUCAUGUCUGACGCUGAGGCGCGAAAGCGUGGGGAGCGAACAGG